rnacentral:rRNA from 1 species
UACGUAGGUGGCAAGCGUUGUCCGGAUUUACUGGGCGUAAAGAGCGCGCAGGCGGCCAGGUCAGUCGAAUGUGAAAGCCCCCGGCUCAACUGGGGAGGGUCGUUCGAUACUGCCUGGCUCGAAGGUAGGAGAGGGAAGUGGAAUUUCAGGUGUAGUGGUGAAAUGCGUAGAUAUCUGAAGGAACACCAGUGGCGAAGGCGACUUUCUGGCCUAUUCUUGACGCUGAGGCGCGAAAGCUAGGGGAGCGAACGGG